UGCAUAGGAAUCUACCUAGUAGUAUGGAAUAGCCACUAGAAAUGGUGGGUAAUACUGUAUAAUCCCUGAGGGGGAAAGAUUUUAUCGCUAUUAGAUGAGCCUACAUUAGAUUAGCUAGUUGGUAAGGUAAUGGCUUACCAAGGCUAUGAUCUAUAGCUGGUCUGAGAGGACGAUCAGCCACACUGGAACUGAGAUACGGUCCAGACUCCUACGGGAGGCAGCAGUGGGGAAUAUUGGACAAUGGGCGCAAGCCUGAUCCAGCUAUGCCGCGUGAGUGAAGAAGGCCUUCGGGUUGUAAAGCUCUUUCAAUAGGGAAGAUAAUGACGGUACCUAUAGAAGAAGUCCCGGCAAACUCCGUGCCAGCAGCCGCGGUAAUACGGAGGGGGCAAGCGUUGUUCGGAAUUAUUGGGCGUAAAGGGC
rnacentral:rRNA from 1 species